UAUAAGCCCCACGGGAGCCGGGGCCACCCGGCUGAGAAAGGCGUACCAGCGCGCGCCUAAACCGUUUGAACCUGUCUGGUUAAUUCCAGCGAAGGAAGAAGAUGAGAUGAACUC
rnacentral:ncRNA from 1 species